rnacentral:rRNA from 1 species
GACGAACGCUGGCGGCGCGCCUAACACAUGCAAGUCGAACGGAGCUGAGAGAAGCUUGCUUUUCUUAGCUUAGUGGCGAACGGGUGAGUAACGCGUGAGUAACCUGCCCUGGAGUGGGGGACAACAGUUGGAAACGACUGCUAAUACCGCAUAAGCCCACGAUCCGGCAUCGGAUUGAGGGAAAAGGAUUUAUUCGCUUCAGGAUGGACUCGCGUCCAAUUAGCUAGUUGGUGAGGUAACGGCCCACCAAGGCGACGAUUGGUAGCCGGACUGAGAGGUUGAACGGCCAAAUUGGGACUGGGACACGGCCCAGACGCCACGGGGGGGCGGCAGGGGGGGUAAUGGGAAAAGGGGGGAAACCCUGAUGCAGCGACGCCGGGGGGAGGAAGAAGGUUUUGGGAUUGUAAACCCCUGGCGAUAGGGACGAAAAGGAGGGAACCGAACAAGAAAGCCCCGGUAAAUUAGGG